rnacentral:lncRNA from 1 species
CCAGGUAAAACAGAGCAAAUAAGGAACAUAUUUUCGCCGUUCCAGCGAAACAUUCAGAUUAAAUGUGCUACAAAACUUGAUCAGCGGGUGGCUUCCUAUAGUUUGAUUGGUUCACAUUCAGCUGCACACUAAGCAAAUGAAAGGUGGAAUAACCAGCAGGGGCCUCCUAUAGUUUUGGGGUACAUUCUUCCAAACACAAAUUACCAAACGAAAGGUGGAAUAACCAGCACGGGCGACCAAAACAUCCCUGGAGCAAAGUUAACCCCAUUCCCCGGAAAUAAAAGCAAGAUAUGACUAAGCAGGGUAAGGUCUUAAACUAUGUGCUCAGCCAACGCCAAGAUCUUGAGAUGCUUCUUCUUCCUG